UGGGGAAUAUUGCACAAUGGGCGCAAGCCUGAUGCAGCCAUGCCGCGUGUGUGAAGAAGGCCUUCGGGUUGUAAAGCACUUUCAGCGGGGAGGAAGGCGUUAAGGUUAAUAACCUUGGCGAUUGACGUUACCCGCAGAAGAAGCACCGGCUAACUCCGUGCCAGCAGCCGCGGUAAUACGGAGGGUGCAAGCGUUAAUCGGAAUUACUGGGCGUAAAGCGCACGCAGGCGGUCUGUCAAGUCGGAUGUGAAAUCCCCGGGCUCAACCUGGGAACUGCAUUGGAAACUGGCAGGCUAGAGUCUUGUAGAGGGGGGUAGAAUUCCAGGUGGAGCGGUGAAAUGCGUAGAGAUCUGGAGGAAUACCGGUGGCGAAGGCGGCCCCCUGGACAAAGACUGACGCUCAGGUGCGAAAGCGUGGGGAGCAAACAGG
rnacentral:rRNA from 1 species